CAAAAUUUAGUAUUUGGAUUUGGUGCAAGAAAAGGUGCAGCCCUGGAGAUGGACAUACUUAGUUAAACACCAACCACAUAAACUGAGAUACCGUGAGUAAUAAACCACAAUCAUAUUGAUGCAAGAUAACGUCACCCCAUAAAAAAUUUGAAAGAAUAUACUAAACGAUAACAACUUUUAUUAGAAAAAUAGAUAAAUAAAUAGAUUAAAAAAUAUACCUUUUAGGAAGAGGAAUGCUUUUUCCCCUCACACUCAGGGCUUUCAUCAAAAUUCUUAGAAGGGUAUUUAGCAGUAACCAUUCCAACUUCAAACACCAAAUUCUCACCACUAGAUCUAAUACCCGUAAUACCCCACCACUUAAAAAAUGCCCUCACGCUAAUUCCAUCAAGCUCAGCAAUUCUGUUUUCAACAAUUUUGCCUGUAAUUUUCUUUGAAUACGUAGCUAGGUAAUUGUCCGGAGGUAGUGUGAUUUUACACGUGGCACCUAAAGAAACUACCCAUCAAGCUCAGCAAUUCGGUUUUCAACAAUUUUUCCUGUAAUUUUCUUUGAAUACGUAGCUAGGUAAUUGUCCGGAGGAAGUGUGAUUUUACACGUGGCACCUAGAGAAACAACGAAGUUGCCGGAAGUUUUAUUUAGGGCAUAGCCGUUUACGUUUUGUGGAAGUAGCCCGAUUGGGAAGCCGUAAUUGAUUAGCUCUCUAUGGGCCUCCGACGGGUUCGGUUUCGGGCUUGAAGAGGAUAAAGAGAUAGUGAAAAGGAGAGGAAGAAUGCUGAAGAAUAAGAGGGUUUUUGCCAUUUUUAGUGUGUGAGUGUGUGUGUGUGUGUGUGAAGGAGGAAAUUGUUGGGAAGAAAAGGGAGAAUGGAGAUUUUUUCGAUUGAAGAGUUUGACCAGCAAAGGAGUGGAUAAAGUGUAAUAUGUAAACAUGAAUUCACGUGUACCUUUUUAAUCGUGAUGUGAUUCAGAAAAGGCCACGUUCUUUGUAUGUGACGAGAACUUC
rnacentral:lncRNA from 1 species